GAAUUUUCCGCAAUGGGCGAAAGCCUGACGGAGCAAUACCGCGUGAGGGAUGACUGCCUAUGGGUUGUAAACCUCUUUUUUCAGGGAGGAAUAAAUGACGUGUACCUGAAGAAUAAGCAUCGGCUAACUCCGUGCCAGCAGCCGCGGUAAGACGGAGGAUGCAAGUGUUAUCCGGAAUCACUGGGCGUAAAGCGUCUGUAGGUGGUCAAAUAAGUCAACUGUUAAAUCUUGAGGCUCAACCUCAAAAUCGCAGUCGAAACUAUUAGACUAGAGUAUAGUAGGGGUAAAGGGAAUUUCCAGUGGAGCGGUGAAAUGCGUAGAUAUUGGAAGGAACACCGAUGGCGAAGGCACUUUACUGGGCUAUUACUAACACUCAGAGACGAAAGCUAGGGUAGCAAAUGGGAUUAGAUACCCCAGUAGUC
rnacentral:rRNA from 1 species